CCUACGGGUGGCAGCAGUGGGGAAUAUUGCACAAUGGGGGAAACCCUGAUGCAGCGACGCCGCGUGAGUGAAGAAGUAUUUCGGUAUGUAAAGCUCUAUCAGCAGGGAAGAAAAUGAUGGUACUUGUUUACUUAGCCCCGGCUAAAUACGUGCCAGCAGCCGCGGUAAGACGUAGGGGGCAAGCGUUAUGCGGAUUGACUGGGUGAAAAGGGAGCGUAGAUGGCAGCACAAGUCUGGAGUGAAAUGCCGGGGCUUAACCCCGGAACUGCUUUGGAAACUGGGCAGCUAGAGUGCAGGAGAGGUAAGUAGAAUUCCUAGUGUAGCGGUGAAAUGCGUAGAGAUUAGGAGGAACACCGGUGGCGAAGGCGGCUUACUGGACUAUAACUGACGUUGAGGCUCGAAAGCGUGGGGAGCAAACAGGAUUAGAUACCCCUGUAGUC
rnacentral:rRNA from 1 species